rnacentral:rRNA from 1 species
GGAAUAAAUGAUCCUUCUACGGGUGCAUUUACCGAAACCUUAGUGAACCAGAAAACGGUUGGCCAAACGACAGUAAAUAAAUUGGCCCCUCAGUUAUGUUCCUUAUAGAAUUCAACUGGGGCACUGGUCCUUUUAAAGGGCAACACCUUGAGUCUGCAGGGCCAUUCCUAAUGAGAAUUACCUGCAGCCCGACAGCUAUUUCGUUGUCAGGCUCACAGGCUAAAUAAUGGUGGGCGCUCGUGACAUCUCACGGCGUUUCAGAUAUAGUCGUAUCUUAACUCGAUGACUGUUAAGUAUGUGCGCAUCUUUAACCACGCUUUUAAUAGAAAAACUUGUUCCGUAGGUGAACCUGCGGAAGGAUCAUUA